rnacentral:rRNA from 1 species
ACUUAAGCAUAUCAAUAAGCGGAGGAAAAGAAACCAACAGGGAUUGCCUCAGUAACGGCGAGUGAAGCGGCAACAGCUCAAAUUUGAAAUCUGGCCUCUUCGGGGUCCGAGUUGUAAUUUGUAGAGGGUGUUUCGGGCGCGAUGCCGGUCUAAGUUCUUUGGAACAGGACGUCGUAGAGGGUGAGAAUCCCGUAUGCGACCGGCGAUCAAGCCUGUGUGAAGCCCCUUCGACGAGUCGAGUUGUUUGGGAAUGCAGCUCAAAAUGGGUGGUAAAUUUCAUCUAAAGCUAAAUAUUGGCCAGAGACCGAUAGCGGACAAGUAGAGUGAUCGAAAGAUGAAAAGCACUUUGGAAAGAGAGUCAAACAGUACGUGAAAUUGUUGAAAGGGAAGCGCUUGCAAUCAGACCGGUCCGGAGGCGAUCAGCCGCUGCUCGUCAGCGGUGCACUCGCCUGCGAUCCGGCCAGCAUCGGUUUGGGCGGCGGGAGAAAAGGCCGGGGAAUGUAGCUUCUUUCGGGGAGUCUUAUAGCCCGGGUCGCAAUGCCGCCCGCCUGGACCGAGGACCGCGCUUCGGCUAGGAUGCUGGCGUAAUGGUUGCAAGCGACCCGUCUUGAAACACGGACCAAGGAGUCUAACAUCUAUGCGAGUGUUUGGGUGUCAAACCCAGGCGCGGAAUGAAAGUGAACGGAGGUGGGAACCCGUCAGACGGCGCACCAUCGACCGAUCCAGAUGUCUUCGGAUGGAUUUGAGUAUGAGCAUAGCUGUUGGGACCCGAAAGAUGGUGAACUAUGCCCGGAUAGGGUGAAGCCAGAGGAAACUCUGGUGGAGGCUCGCAGCGGUUCUGACGUGCAAAUCGAUCGUCAAAUCUAGGCAUAGGGGCGAAAGACCAAUCGAACCAUCUAGUAGCUGGUUCCUGUCGAAGUUUCCCUCAGGAUAGCAGUAACGUUUUCAGUUUUAUGAGGUAAAGCGAAUGAUUAGAGGCCUUGGGGCUGAAACAGCCUUAACCUAUUCUCAAACUUUAAAUAUGUAAGAAGUCCUUGUUACUUAGUUGAACGUGGACAUUUGAAUGCACCGUUACUAGUGGGCCAUUUUUGGUAAGCAGAACUGGCGAUGCGGGAUGAACCGAACGCGAGGUUAAGGUGCCGGAAUGCACGCUCAUCAGACACCACAAAAAGUGUCAAUUCAUCCAGACAGCCGGACGGUGGCCAUGGAAGUCGGAAUCCGCUAAGGAGUGUGUAACAACUCACCGGCCGAAUGAAUUGGCCUUGAAAAUGGAUGGCGCUCAAGCGUGCUACCCAUACCUCGCCGCCAGGGUAGAAACGAUGCCCUGGCGAGUAG